rnacentral:rRNA from 1 species
AUUGAACGCUGGCGGCAUGCUUUACACAUGCAAGUCGAACGGCAGCACGGACUUCGGUCUGGUGGCGAGUGGCGAACGGGUGAGUAAUGCAUCGGAACGUGCCCAGUUGUGGGGGAUAACUACUCGAAAGAGUAGCUAAUACCGCAUGAGAACUGAGGUUGAAAGCAGGGGAUCGUAAGACCUUGCGCAACUGGAGCGGCCGAUGGCGGAUUAGGUAGUUGGUGGGAUAAAAGUUUACCAAGCCGACGAUCUGUAGCUGGUCUGAGAGGACGACCAGCCACACUGGGACUGAGACACGGCCCAGACUCCUACGGGAGGCAGCAGUGGGGAAUUUUGGACAAUGGGCGAAAGCCUGAUCCAGCAAUGCCGCGUGCAGGAUGAAGGCCCUCGGGUUGUAAACUGCUUUUGUACGGAACGAAAAGCUUCGGGUUAAUACCCUGGAGUCAUGACGGUACCGUAAGAAUAAGCACCGGCUAACUACGUGCCAGCCGCCGCAGUAACAC